ACAAUGAUGAUGUCACUGAUUCUACUGCUGGCCACCCUGGGGCUCCUUGUUCAGGGUUCAUCAGGACAAAUCAUCCUGACUCAGUCUCCUGGAUCUCAGUCUGCUGUUCCAGGACAGGCUGUCUCUCUCAAAUGUAAAACCAGUGCAAGUACUGGCUACCUGCACUGGUACCUUCAGAAACCUGGAGAAGCUCCUAAACUCCUGAUUUAUUCAGCUACAACCCGUCAGUCUGGAGUUCCAGAUCGUUUUAGUGGAAGUGGAUCUGGGACUGACUUCACUCUGACCAUCAGUGGAGUUCAGGCUGAAGAUUCAGGAGUUUACUACUGUCAUAGUCAUCAAUGGAUCAACAGUCAGGUUGUGUUCACACAGUGA